ACGAACGCUGGCGGCGUGCCUAACACAUGCAAGUCGAGCGAUGAAACCCUUCGGGGUGGAUUAGCGGCGGACGGGUGAGUAACACGUGGGUAACCUGCCUCAAAGAGGGGAAUAGCCUUCCGAAAGGAAGAUUAAUACCGCAUAAUAUGUUUUGAUCGCAUGAUCUAAACAUCAAAGGAGUAAUCCGCUUUGAGAUGGACCCGCGGCGCAUUAGCUAGUUGGUGAGGUAACGGCUCACCAAGGCGACGAUGCGUAGCCGACCUGAGAGGGUGAUCGGCCACAUUGGAACUGAGACACGGUCCAGACUCCUACGGGAGGCAGCAGUGGGGAAUAUUGCGCAAUGGGGGAAACCCUGACGCAGCAACGCCGCGUGAAUGAUGAAGGCCUUCGGGUUGUAAAGUUCUGUCUUCUGGGACGAUAAUGACGGUACCAGAGGAGGAAGCCACGGCUAACUACGU
rnacentral:rRNA from 1 species